rnacentral:lncRNA from 1 species
UUAAAUAUUCUCCAUUUUUUCUUAUAUUAUCACAUCUAUAUUUACUCUUAACAAAAUGUAGAAUUAAGGCAAUGCUUAUGAAGAAUAUUAGUCAAACCUAAACAAAUAAGGAACCUAUUAUUAACUAACUAGGGCAACCACCUCAUGUGAGGAAAGUUCCAGAUCAGGAACGAAUACACGCAAAUAAAACAAGUCUGAUUUGCACACGGUGUUGGCAUCUGAUUUCUGACCAGUCUCGGCCACCACAACCAAAUACAACCCAUAUAUAAAUAAGUACACACGGACGCACAAGGACCCACCAAACAAUUACAAGCCGGUGCCGAUGACUUGAACACGCCACAUGAGACUCAACAUCCAAACGCAAAACCACCUCCAGCCGCUUGACUGGACGCUCGGCAAAUCACGCGAAAGCACGCUCGACGCCCGACGAAGCGAUGCCGGCUCGAAUUGACGCCGGAAGAAAUGACGCCAAAGCACUCCUGGCCUGAUUCAUCAGAUUUGGUAAUUGUUAUUUCGCAAGCUUACUUUUUAUGUAUACAAUCUUCAUAAAUACUAUAUCAAUUGAUAAAUUGUUCCCUGUUAAUUUUGAAGACAUAAGAAUAUGGCAUACAAGAAGUUGAGUGACUUAACUACAAGGGGACAGAAUUGGAAUAUUCAAGUGAAAGUAAUGAGAAUGUGGGAUUCAGUGAAUCCUACGACCGAUGAGUUUAUUAGCCUAGAUAUGAUACUGAUGGACGAGCAGGUCUGUUUUCUAAUAUAUUAAAUUAGAAUUAUUCUGUCAUAUGAAGCAAGUAACCAACCAUAUUUGAUUCUUUUAACAGGGUGAAACAAUCCAUGCUAUUAUCUGGAAGAAUCUUAUAGACACUUUUAGAUCAAAGAUCAAUGAAAAAUAUAUUUAUGCAUUCAGCAAUUUUCAGGUCAUGGAAUCCACGAAAUAUAGGCCACUGAGCAAUGAAGUUAAAAUAUUAUUUGCAUACAAUACAAAGGUAAAGGUAAAGGCUCUUUGAAAGUUUUCCCAGAUUAUUACUUCGAGUUUGCUACCAUGGACACACUAGAGAAAGGGCAGACAAGGACACAUAAUGCUCAGGUAUGUUUAUAGUUGUAAUUACGACCUCCAAAUAAUUGAUAUUUCUAAUUUUAUAUCACUAAUCUCCAAAUAUGCAGAUGUCAUUAGACUACUGACUCGAAUGAAGCCAGUGGAGACAAGAAUAACAAAAAGGAACCCACAACCUUCAUAUAUCCAUGAGAUUGAAAUCCUAAUGCCAGAGUAAGUCCAUAUGCAUAUGCAUGUCUCAAAUUUAACUAAACCUCCCCCAUGUGGUUAGCACUAACUUCUAGGAUUCAAUUAUUUAGGGGUGUUAAAACCAGAAUCAUGUUAUGGGGAAAGUCUGCUUAUUUUUUGACCGAGGAUGUAAUCGGCAGCCAAACUGUCCUUAUUAUCACAUCAACGAUGGUGCAGAGAUUUAAUGGUAAGUGCAUAGACUUACAUGGAAUUCUUAUCAUUUACAAAUUCUAACUGAUUGAUUAAAUAGGUUUGUGCCCAAAGUAAAUGAGUGCGGUAAGAAUAUAUAUAUAUAUAUAUAUAGAUCUGGAUAUACCAGAAACACAAGAACUUCUUGAUAGGUAUGAAACACCACCAGUUUAUUUAUUUUUCACUCAUAAUUAGUGAUUCAGGUUGAUUCAAGGUUUCUUAUGUACUUCAUACAUGUGUAGUGACUCAACAGAAGAAACCUUACCAACAAUUAUGAGUAUAGAUGUUUUAUAAGUAAUCAAGGAACACAAGAAGAACAGAUGUUUUAUAAGAGGAGAACAUUACAAGAACUUACUACAAUGAGGCACGGAAACCAGUCAGACCAGGUAAUGCAUCAGAAUUCCAAUAAAUGAUACCAUCAAUCUCCGUGAUACGAGAUAAGACCUGUAUGACAAUUCAUUUAAUAUUAGUUACAACAAAACCAUAUUGUGAUUAUAUAUGCCUCUUAAUCCCGCACCCCACCCAAAUGCUAACGUUGUCUUUUUUAGGAUUUUGUGCUCAUAACAAUAGCUACAGUGGAUCGUCUGCAAGAAAAUAUUUAACGGUGGUACAUGUCAUGUGAUAAGUGUCACAAAUUGGCUACCAAGGAAACCUACAAUUAUUAUUGCAAGAGUUGUGGUAUAUAUCCAGAAAAGGUCACACCUCGGUAAGCAUAUUACAUUACUAAAAUAUGAACAGGAACUGUUAUAUUAUAUUUACUCUCCACUAACAUGAAUCGUAUGUUAGGUAUCGUGUUCGACUCCAAAUUAGUGACCAUACAUCUACUACAAGUUGCACUUUAUUUGACGAGGAGGCUGCAAGAUUGCUUAAUACAUCUACAUCCAAGUUGUUGGACACACAGGAUGGGAAAUCAGAAGAAGCGCCAAAGAUUAUUCAACAAUUAUGUGGAAGAAAACUUAUAUUUAGAUUCAAGCUCAAUGGUAAUAAUCUCACACUUGGCACACAAAACUAUACAGUAAAAAGAACAUUUGUGCCUGAUGAUAGGCUUGAGAUGCUCUAUUUGGACAAUAAAGCCGAGGAGGUAAAGCUGCUUUAACUUUUUACCAUCUUCAGAACUCCUUAACUAAUUUAUCUUAUAUAUGUUUCAUAGGAAUUGAUGGAUGAUGAGGUGGACACCAUGUUAAUGAAGAAGCAAAAUAUGCCAGACAUAAAGGUGAUUGAUUUUUUUAACUAUAUACGCACUUCAGAUUUUAGAAAUGUGUCUAGUUUUUGAAAAUGUAUAUGUUUGUAGUCAUAGAAUAAUAAAGUUUCACCUAGCAAACUUUCAUGUGAACUGGUGCCUGUGGAAGAGGAACCACAUGACAGCACUAGGAUUGCAUUAAAUAAAGAUAAGAGUCAAAACAAAAUAUCAUCGGCAUCACGUGAGCUCCGCAGUGGCACUAAAAGGAUACUGAGAUCUGUUGUAAUAUCAGAUGAGUCAGAGGAUGAAUGCAUUGAGACGAAUAUGCCUGAACAAAAGGAAAAAGGUGUUUGUGGGAACAAGAAACAUGUUAAAGCAGAAGCCAAAAAAACUAUGCUUGAAGAUGAAGGACCAAAAUCGAAGGCCAGGAGAAAAAGGAUGUUACCUAGAUAAUUAGUGGAUCAGUAGCUUAUGACAUAAAUAGUCCGACCGUCUAUUUGUAUCGGCCAAGGUAAGUACAGUAUUUGAUUGACAUCGACCAUGAUAAGAAGAAUACUUAUUAGAUUAAGGGUGUGAAUGUUACCAAUGUUCUUAGUCUAAAAUAGAUUGAUAACUUUCUUCAUGUAGUUUCCUUUAUGCACAUGUUAUUUCAGGCGAAUCUUUAUGAGGCCAGCACAAUAGACAAGAACAUACUAUCAGACUAGAGUUUCGCACAUUAGGAUUUACUUCACAAUUUGAAGAAACUAAUACUUUGGCAAAUCUAUAUGACGCCGGCACAAUAGAAAGAAACAUACCCUUCUUCAUCAAUAACUUAAAAGAAAGACUAGAUAUAAGCAAAUCAAUGGCAUCUCGCUGACACAGGUGAGCUGCUCAACAAACCUAUAACAAAAUAAAUAUCCAGGGUGACGGAUUAGCACACACAAGGUAAGGCCUUUGCAGUUUAAGAAAAUAAUUGACACAUAAGAACCAACUUCCGGUGCAUGAGGCCUUUUUAAGAGAAAAGGCAUCAUUUCUUGCAAACAACAAAUUAAAAAUACUAUGGAGUUGCUAUGGAUAAAGUGCAAGAAAAAUAUUCAGUUCGCACUUAAAGUUAGUAGUGGCCUGACAGCAAGAACAAUGAGGAGGCCAGCAUCUCAUGGUCAUCCGCUGCUAUUUGUAUUUUCCAGAUGUCAGAUCUAAUAACUCACUCGGCAGGUGACACGGUGAUUUCCCUCGCAGCCUCCUCCACUCGGCCAAACUACAACACCUGUGCCAUGGACAUCUAGCCGUAGGCCAAGAAGAGGUCACCAUCUUGGCCGAAACCCUUGAGAACUCUCUGCCGGACUCCACGAGGUCGUCGAGGAUCCACAUCCUCGAGAACGCGAUGGACGCGUCCGCGUACUUGGCUCAACGUCAAACUGCGCCAGUACCUACACGAAGAGAAAUAGGAAGGAAUGAAUCAUUUGUGAUGGUUUGGGCAUCAAUGUGGUGAUUGCAAGCGGUGAGAUCUUAAUCAGCCACCUAAUGGAAGAGGUGGUGCAUGCGGAUGGAUAAGGAUGUUGGAGGGGAACGACUGAGCUGAGAGAUUUUUAUUUUAUAUAAACUAGCAAAAAUGCCCGUGCAUUGCAACGGGAUAAAAAGUUAUCACACCACCUAGCCUCAAUAAGCAUUGCUAAG